GACGAACGCUGGCGGCGUGCUUAACACAUGCAAGUCGAACGGAAAGGCCUGCUUUCCCUUGUGGAUUGCGGGUACUCGAGUGGCGAACGGGUGAGUAACACGUGAGUGAUCUGCCCCCAACUUGGGUAUAAGCCUGGGAAACUGGGUCUAAUUCCCGAUAGGACUGCAGGGUGGUGCCUGUGGUGGAAAACGAUUUUCUAGUGGGUGGGGAUGAGCUCGCGGCCUAUCAGCUUGUUGGUGGGGUAAUGGCCUACCAAGGCGGCGACGGGUAGCCGGCCUGAGAGGGUGGACGGCCACAUUGGGACUGAGAUACGGCCCAGACUCCUACGGGAGGCAGCAGUGGGGAAUAUUGCACAAUGGGCGGAAGCCUGAUGCAGCGACGCCGCGUGGGGGAUGACGGCCUUCGGGUUGUAAACUCCUUUCGACCGCGAGGAAGCCACCUGGUUGGAAGGGUGGUGACGGUAGUGGUAGAAGAAGCACCGGCUAACUACGUG
rnacentral:rRNA from 1 species